AUUGAACGCUGGCGGCAUGCCUUACACAUGCAAGUCGAACGGCAGCACGGGGGCAACCCUGGUGGCGAGUGGCGAACGGGUGAGUAAUACAUCGGAACGUGUCCUGUAGUGGGGGAUAGCCCGGCGAAAGCCGGAUUAAUACCGCAUACGCUCUACGGAGGAAAGGGGGGGAUCUUAGGACCUCCCGCUACAGGGGCGGCCGAUGGCAGAUUAGCUAGUUGGUGGGGUAAAGGCCUACCAAGGCGACGAUCUGUAGCUGGUCUGAGAGGACGACCAGCCACACUGGGACUGAGACACGGCCCAGACUCCUACGGGAGGCAGCAGUGGGGAAUUUUGGACAAUGGGGGCAACCCUGAUCCAGCAAUGCCGCGUGUGUGAAGAAGGCCUUCGGGUUGUAAAGCACUUUUGUCCGGAAAGAAAACGCCGUGGUUAAUACCCGUGGCGGAUGACGGUACCGGAAGAAUAAGCACCGGCUAACUACGUGCCAGCAGCCGCGGUAAUACGUAGGGUGCAAGCGUUAAUCGGAAUUACUGGGCGUAAAGCGUGCGCAGGCGGUCCGCUAAGACAGAUGUGAAAUCCCCGGGCUUAACCUGGGAACUGCAUUUGUGACUGGCGGGCUAGAGUAUGGCAGAGGGGGGUAGAAUUCCACGUGUAGCAGUGAAAUGCGUAGAGAUGUGGAGGAAUACCGAUGGCGAAGGCAGCCCCCUGGGCCAAUACUGACGG
rnacentral:rRNA from 1 species